rnacentral:rRNA from 1 species
GUGGGUCGGCGAUCGGCCAGCAAUUAAAGCUUUGGUGGUUCAAGAUUGGCUCGCGUGACAUUAGCUUGAUGGUGGGGUAACGGCCCACCAUGGCAAUGAUGUCUAGGGGUUCUGAGAGGAAGAUCCCCCACACUGGGACUGAGACACGGCCCAGACUCCUACGGGAGGCAGCAGUGAGGAAUAUUGGACAAUGGAUGGAAAUCUGAUCCAGCCAUGCCGCGUGCAGGAAGACGGCCCUAUGGGUUGUAAACUGCUUUUAUACGGGAGCAAUAAGGUGUACGCGUACACCGAUGAGAGUACCGUAGGAAUAAGCAUCGGCUAACUCCGUGC